GUCGAGCGGUAGAGAGAAGCUUGCUUCUCUUGAGAGCGGCGGACGGGUGAGUAAUGCCUAGGAAUCUGCCUGGUAGUGGGGGAUAACGUUCGGAAACGGACGCUAAUACCGCAUACGUCCUACGGGAGAAAGCAGGGGACCUUCGGGCCUUGCGCUAUCAGAUGAGCCUAGGUCGGAUUAGCUAGUUGGUGGGGUAAUGGCUCACCAAGGCGACGAUCCGUAACUGGUCUGAGAGGAUGAUCAGUCACACUGGAACUGAGACACGGUCCAGACUCCUACGGGAGGCAGCAGUGGGGAAUAUUGGACAAUGGGCGAAAGCCUGAUCCAGCCAUGCCGCGUGUGUGAAGAAGGUCUUCGGAUUGUAAAGCACUUUAAGUUGGGAGGAAGGGCAGUUGCCUAAUACGUAACUGUUUUGACGUUACCGACAGAAUAAGCACCGGCUAACUCUGUGCCAGCAGCCGCGGUAAUACAGAGGGUGCAAGCGUUAAUCGGAAUUACUGGGCGUAAAGCGCGCGUAGGUGGUUUGUUAAGUUGGAUGUGAAAUCCCCGGGCUCAACCUGGGAACUGCAUUCAAAACUGACUGACUAGAGUAUGGUAGAGGGUGGUGGAAUUUCCUGUGUAGCGGUGAAAUGCGUAGAUAUAGGAAGGAACACCAGUGGCGAAGGCGACCACCUGGACUAAUACUGACACUGAGGUGCGAAAGCGU
rnacentral:rRNA from 1 species